CAAUGAACCAACCGAAAUGUAGACCAAAGGGGGCCCAGUGACGUGGACAGAUUACGUCCUCAGGAAUUGGUUACUUUGUGUUGACCGUGAACUGACCGUUAACUGUAAAUGUUUUGCCGUCAUGGUGAAACAAGCGGGGGCUAAUGGUAUUUUGGCAUCUGGGAUGAGGUUUACAGCUGGGUUGGGCAUCCUCUUCAUCAAAACCAUGAAAACUUGUCUGGUUUGGGCGGGCGUUUGGCAGCUCCUCCCCUGGGCUUCAGACGGGGUCAGAAGUGAAUUACGAGUCAGACCAAUAUGCGAAUCGAGCGACCUCCCCUUCCCCUUGCAUGCAAUGAUGUGGUGAACCUCCUCUCGAUCAUUCUAAUUCAGUGCUCUCCAGAGAGCAAUUUCGUCGAUAAACGGGAUGGUCCGGAAUCCCCAAAAUCUCCAAUAGCAAAGUCUCCAUCCCAGAACUCUCUUCGUAAUGCUAGUCUUGUUGCCAGAAGGAAAAUGUUUGUUGUGUCCCAGGUUGGAAGGUCCAGUUUCCAGAAGCUUUUGGAGCCAAAUUAAGCCCCCACUCAGAGAUCUGCAAUUACUCCUUAUAGAAUUAUUCUUGGUAAUAUAAAAGACAAGGUAUGUUUAUUUUCUUUGAAUAUGUCAAGCAAGUUGUUAGAUAGCUAAGAUUGAUUGAUUUAUAUUUUUGUGAUACUGGUUUGGGAUGAUACCACACCACCUUUUUUCUGGAACAGCUUGUUUGUGAAGCAUCCCUAUGGUUAUUCACUUUUAUUUUCUUUGCUCCUCAGAUAUGUUUCCAAAUGAUACCAAACUUACUAAGAAUGCUUUUCCUCUUUAAAUUGAGACAGUUCUUGGAGACUCCUCCCUGUUCAUUGCUUACAUCAGAUUUGUAUUAUCACUUUUCCAGCCAAGAAAAUUGGUAUCAGAGCCCAGCAAUCAUGUGGAUCAGGGAUCCUAGCUGAUGGUGGGCUUGAUGGUUUGAUCCGAAGAGUUGCUACCUUUGGGAUGGUAUUAAUGAAAGCUCGACUUGCGUCAGGUGUGCUUUUAUUUUAUUGUAGAAGCUAGACGUUGCUACCCCAGGCUGAGCUUGGCUUCCUCAACAUAGGAAGCUGCCCCUCAAGAAGAAAGAGCUCUACUGGAAUUGGACAUCUUCGGCAGUUCCAUGGGUGUUUGCAUGGACUCAAACCAGAUUUGUCUUCCAGCUCUGCUUGGAGUUAAACCCCUUGUUGAUCUUUUUGUGAGAGCAUCAAACACACCAGCCAUAAAGGUGUAUGAGAAGGCCAUCCCUUGGAUGAGAAAUUAUAAUGGUGUAUAGGUGCUAUAUUUUUACAUUUAGACUCAUGAAGAUCUAUCAGUGAUUGUCAUCCCUUCCAAAGGUUUCUUUUAGGGUAUGUUUCUGUGGAAUCUAACAAAAGAACAGAAUUGUUUUCAACACUCAAGUUCAACAAUGUGAUGCUUAGAAGCACAAAAUUGGUUCAUAGUUCAAGUGGAGACUUGGAAUGAUUUAUUGGGAAAUUCUUUACAUUCUUAGAAAGGCUUUUAUUUCGAGCAGUAAAACAUUA